rnacentral:tRNA from 1 species
GGGGCUAUAGCGCAGUUGGUAGCGCAUCUGCUUUGCAAGCAGAGGGUCGCCGGUUCGAAUCCGGCUAGCUCCACCA